rnacentral:rRNA from 1 species
GAUGAACGCUGGCGGCGUGCCUAAUACAUGCAAGUCGAACGCUUCACUUCGGUGAAGAGUGGCGAACGGGUGAGUAAUACAUAAGUAACCUGGCAUCUACAGGGGGAUAACUGAUGGAAACGUCAGCUAAGACCGCAUAGGUGUAGAGAUCGCAUGAACUCUAUAUGAAAAGUGCUACGGGACUGGUAGAUGAUGGACUUAUGGCGCAUUAGCUUGUUGGUAGGGUAACGGCCUACCAAGGCGACGAUGCGUAGCCGACCUGAGAGGGUGACCGGCCACACUGGGACUGAGACACGGCCCAGACUCCGACGGGAGGCAGCAGUAGGGAAUUUUCGGCAAUGGGGGAAACCCUGACCGAGCAACGCCGCGUGAAGGAAGAAGUAAUUCGUUAUGUAAACUGCUGUCAUAGAGGAAGAACGGUGGAUAUAGGGAAUGAUAUCCAAGUGACGGUACUCUAUAAGAAAGCCACGGCUAACUACGU